rnacentral:rRNA from 1 species
ACACGUACAGCCGGCGGCGGCCUAAACAUUAAAGGCGGACGGUACACGGCAGCUUGCUUCUGCUGAGAGCGGCGGACGGGUGAGUAAUGUAUGGGGAUCUGCCCGAUAGAGGGGGAUAACUACUGGAAACGGUGGCUAAUACCGCAUAAUCUCUAAGGAGCAAAGCAGGGGACCUUCGGGCCUUGCGCUAUCGGAUGAACCCAUAUGGGAUUAGCUAGUAGGUGGGGUAAUGGCUCACCUAGGCGACGAUCCCUAGCUGGUCUGAGAGGAUGAUCAGCCACACUGGGACUGAGACACGGCCCAGACUCCUACGGGAGGCAGCAGUGGGGAAUAUUUUAUUUUUUUUUUCAAGCCUGAUGCAGCCAUGCCGCGUGUAUGAAGAAGGCCCUAGGGUUGUAAAGUACUUUUAGUCGGGAGGAAGGAGUUUGAUGCCUAAUAUCAUCAAGAUUGGACGUUUACCAAAAGAGGAAGCAACCGGCUAAAUUCCAUGCCCAGCAGC